GAUGAACGCUGGCGGCGUGCCUAAUACAUGCAAGUCGAGCGAAUGGAUUAAGAGCUUGCUCUUAUGAAGUUAGCGGCGGACGGGUGAGUAACACGUGGGUAACCUGCCCAUAAGACUGGGAUAACUCCGGGAAACCGGGGCUAAUACCGGAUAACAUUUUGAACCGCAUGGUUCGAAAUUGAAAGGCGGCUUCGGCUGUCACUUAUGGAUGGACCCGCGUCGCAUUAGCUAGUUGGUGAGGUAACGGAUCACCAAGGCAACGAUGCGUAGCCGACCUGGGAGGGUGAUCGGCCACCCUGGGACUGAGACACGGCCCAGACCCCUACGGGAGGCAGCAGUAGGGAAUCUUCCGCAAUGGACGAAAGUCUGACGGAGCAACGCCGCGUGAGUGAUGAAGGCUUUCGGGUCGUAAAACUCUGUUGUUAGGGAAGAACAAGUGCUAGUUGAAUAAGCUGGCACCUUGACGGUACCUAACCAGAAAGCCACGGCUAACUACGUGCCAGCAGCCGCGGUAA
rnacentral:rRNA from 1 species